GGAACAUGACCUUGGCUUUUUUGUUGCGUUGGGUUUAUUUCCCCAGGAGGAGGUAAUGCAAUUCUGCUCGUGCAGCACAAAAACACUUAUGACCCAAUCAAUGAACGGCUCUCCCUGAGUUUGAAACUGCUAUUUCAACAAUCAUUUUUAGUCAGUAGUAAACAUCAAUCUUUGCAGGAGAUCACCAGCUGGAACAUCCUCGUCCUGUUUCUCUUCAGAGUGAUUCGGAUUUAAUUCCUAAUUGCCAAUUUGCUUCACGCCGGCGUUGCAUGCGUUUUAUGCUCUCUCCGUUCAUGCCGCGUGGGACUGUUUUAGUAGCUCAGAACAACUGAAAAACAACUGUUAUGUGAGGACUUUUAUCUUCAUACAUCUAGAGACUAGAACCAAGGUCUCUGCGAACCACGUUGGUUGUUUUCUGCAACUGGAUGAGGAUUUACAGACAACAACGGGAGGAGGACAAGAUGUUCGAGACCAAUCCCUGCUGAGCCUCGCCGUCAUUGUAUGUCUCUGCAAGACUCUUUCUUCUCAGCAGGACGCUCUGACUCGUCCUCACGCCAUGGGUUUCAUUUAAAGGCAGGCGACAACAAACUGAGAGAGAUAAUCCAAAGAAAAGGAAAUCAUAUGGGGACACUUCAACAUGGGACAUGGAGCAACCGGGCUUUGAACCACCUACCUUGAGGUUCCUGCCGCAUCCUCUGUACUCCGAGCGCCACCGUCAAAUAAAGUAAUUUCAAGAUGUG